ensembl:lncRNA
UUCUCCAACAGCUGUAGAUCUGCUAUUCAUUGCAGUGGCAUAGCUGUAGAAUUAGAGAAUUGCUUGAAGGAGAGAAAACCCUAAGCUGUUGUUCUGUGUUCAUGUUCAGGGAGGAGUUGCCUUUCAGCAGAGCUCAGACUCUCUGCACAUUGCCCAAGAAUGUGAUGACGACCUGGAGACCAGAGAUUGGUGUUGUGAAGAGGCACCUCGCGACGAUACGAGAGAACGAGAGUUCACUCCUUUUAGCACAGAAGAAAACAAAGGAAGUAAUGACUGUCUGGAUCCCUCACAAAACAGGGAGGGUGACGGAGGUCCCUCGCUCAGCUGUGACACUGCCCCGGCUCUCCUACACAGUGGCAAAAGCGAAGAUCAGCGGGCGUGUGCUUGUGAAAACAGUGAGACUGAUUGCAGAGAGCAAGAGGAGCGUUCAACUACUGGUGUAGUUAGUACCGGUGACAUUGGAGAUAGUAAUGAUGGUUUGCAGAGUGGUUCUGAGAGCAUAGUCAACAGAACCUCUUCCUGCGGAGAACAGAAAGAGGAAGCUGAUAAAGCAUAUGACUUAAUCUGUGAAGCACCGGGGGAAAAUCAGGAAAAAGGACACAACUCUGUAGAGGAGAAAGUAUCGGAGGAGAAAGAGCUAUCUGAACGUAGCCCCACCGUUGAGGCAGGAGAUAUGGGAAUCACUCAGUCUUUGGACACAUCAGAAAGCUCGGAUGUUGGAUCUUCUUCUCGAGGCACUGAGACCGAUGCUGAGGAAGAGGAUGGGUGCGAAGAUCUUAUAGAAUCUGAGGAGGUGCGAGAAGAAAGGAAGGAACCACCGGACGUAAAUCCUGAUGGAGAUACACCUCUAGAUAUCUCACACCAAAAUUUGGUGGAAAAUGAAAUGCAUGCUUGUCGAGGCAUUUGUGAUAAAACUGGUGACCCAGAAACCCAUAAACUAGUGGGAGACACUUGUGAGAAGAUCUUGUGUAUUGUGGAAGGUAGUCGAGAUCUUGAUUCUUCAGGAACCUUUGAUCAAGAAGAAGCCGAUGAGGAGUUUCAGGAGAGUCUAGAAAUGCCAUACAUGGAAACAGAUGGAGACCAACAGAAUGAAGAACUUCGAGAUACACCCUCAAGGAUUUCAGUCGCUAAAGAUGAGAGCGUUUUCCACCUGCGUGAAGUAAUUCAAGAGC